UAUUAUUAUGUAUGAAGGAGAGUAUAAGAUAGGAGAAACUUGUCAUCUCCCAAGAGACGUGAAGGCAUUGUGGAUUCGAGAUUAUGGGGGGACGUGGAAUAUAUCCAGUUUUACGGGACUUGAAGAGCUGGAGGAGCUAUGGAUUACAGGGGGCGAUGAGCUGUCAGCACUGGGUGGGAGUGGGGGACAGCCAGAAGAGCCAGAGAGACAGUUGGAGGAACGAACUUCUCCACCACCACCAGGAGACCACUGCCCCAAUCUCAAGGUGCUACAUAUCUCUGGAUGUCGAAAAUUGAAGCAUCUGUUGGUGCCCAGACACAGCUGCAAUCUGUACCUUAAGAAACUAGAAAAGCUCAAGAUAUACGGCUGCGUGGAGCUGGAGAGUAUAAUAGGAGCAGCAACAGACGAAGAAGAAUCACUGACAUCAUCAACAUCACCACUGCCCCCGACGCUUUCUCCCAACUCCAAUCAAUUGAAAUCGAGAGCUGCCCAAAGAUGAAGAGGGUGCUAACUCUUGAGUUAUUCAUGCUCCUCCCCAACCUCCAGACUAUCAGUGUUGAUGAUUGCGAGGAGAUGAAGGAGGUGAUAGGCGGCCAAGAGUUAGACCACGGAGUCACCAGUAGCUUGUUCUUGUCCCCCAUUCCAGCAGCAUCUCCUGAUGAUCAAUUAAGUACAAGAAAGCUGACCUUGGAGUUGUCCUUUCUCCCGAAGCUGGAGAGCAUAUGCAGCUGGACCGGACUUCGGGAUCUCAUACAUGUCAUUAAGAUAAAGAGAUGUCCAAAGCUGAAGGGGAUUGAAAUGCUAGAUGAUGCUUCUCCUCCCCCUGCUCUUAAGGAGAUGGUAUUAUUCGGAGAAGUAGGAAAACAAUGGUGGGAAUCUCUGGAGUGGGUCCACCCUGAGGCCAAGACCACCCUUGAACCCUAUGUGUUUGUUUAUUUGUUUCCCCGAUUGCGAGAAUACCAGUCGUAAUCGUCAGCAGGAUUAGGGAGGGAGGGCUGGACCCAAACUGUGCUCAGGAGAAGUAACGAUACCCGUCAAGGGAGGUGGAUUCAUUCAAAUGGAACAAUGGACAGCAGAGCAUCAUCAGAUGGCCUAUUAAGCUUGCUGUUGCUGUGAGAGAUUUUCGGAUCAUGGAUAGAUUAAAAGACGAGGAAGUUGGAGAUAGCGAUGAGGAGAUUCUGAACCAUUUGCUCUGCAGAUAUAGUGCAUAUUUUUAUGAAGACCUUGAAACAUAUGUCGACUGUUUGCCUGCUCUGUUAAGUACCGUAACACUCAGAGUAUUCUCCAGAUACGUCGGCUAUCGGGAGGUGUUACUUACAUAUGUGCCCGCAAUCUCAGUGUGCAGAGUGUGUAGAAUUCUGUUAAAUCAAUCCAUUGUCCUUGGCCAACCUCACGCUCGUCUCUAUGAAUCAAUUUCAUUUCUCCAUUCGAA